GAAUGGGUACAGCCACUGUUUUAGAUAGGAAGUUGAUAAGGUAGGAUGCAUAAGGUUAUUUAAUUUAUAUCUGUAAUCACCGACAAACCAUUGCUAAUUUGUUUUUUGAUUGGUGUAAGAUUUCUGGAAAAAAAUUGCUUCACAGACAGAAAAAACUAAAUAAUAAAAAAAUAUCAUAGUACAACCAAUCAUCGCUCCACUCCUCUAUUUUACCUUGAAAAUCUUGUAUUUAAUGCUCGUUAAACAAUUAAUUAUUUGUGGAGGAAAAACUUUUGAAUAGUCUAGUCUGAGGGCGAGGAACCUAAAUCCCCCUCUGGGUCCCCUACUGACGGUGGUUUGCGAAAAAGUAAGUCGUUAAAACUCUUCCCGAAUUCAUUUCAAUAAGCGACUUUU